AUGGGGACUCCACACAGCAAGCCAACGGAACAGACGACAUCAUCGCCGAUACCUCCAGGUAUAUGUUCACCAAGUCAAACACCAUCCCAGGAAACUGAAUGUGUUGCAGGCCCGAGAGAGGGGACAAGUGUUGACGACUCUAACGAACGGAUUAUACCCGUAGCCGACGUUGUUGACAUAAUGUACCCACGUGGUCUAGGAGUCCAUAUUACUCCCUACGAACGGAUGAUACUUCAGACCGAUGGCAAUAGCACAUGUGAUACUCCAGACAACCCUCCAAUCUCAUGCCUAUAUAAUGUAGAUUCGUUGCCGGCUCUCAGUAAUCUAACAAAAGAACUAGCUAGCAUGACAAGUGACAUUUGGGAAGAGAGGCCUCAGAAUGUCCCACGCCAUCCUCUCAGUGAUAUCACUAAUGCAGAUUAA
rnacentral:rRNA from 1 species